rfam:Camelus ferus unplaced genomic scaffold scaffold1267, whole genome shotgun sequence.
GGGGAAUAGCUCAGUGGUAGGGCACAUGCCUAGAAUGCAUGGGGUCCUGGGUUCAAGCCCCAGUAUCUCCA